ACGAACGCUGGCGGCAUGCCUCACCCAUGCCAGUCGCACGAGACCUUCGGGUCUAGUGGCGCACGGGUGCGUAACGCGUGGGAACCUGCCCUUAGGUUCGGAAUAACUCCCCGAAAGGGGUGCUAAUACCGGAUAAUGUCUUCGGACCAAAGAUUUAUCGCCUUUGGAUGGGCCCGCGUUGGAUUAGCUAGUUGGUAGGGUAAAAGCCUACCAAGGCGACGAUCCAUAGCUGGUCUGAGAGGAUGAUCAGCCACACUGGGACUGAGACACGGCCCAGACUCCUACGGGAGGCAGCAGUGGGGAAUAUUGGACAAUGGGCGAAAGCCUGAUCCAGCAAUGCCGCGUGAGUGAUGAAGGCCUUAGGGUUGUAAAGCUCUUUUACCCGGGAUGAUAAUGACAGUACCGGGAGAAUAAGCUCCGGCUAACUCCGUG
rnacentral:rRNA from 1 species